rnacentral:rRNA from 1 species
CGAACGCUGGCGGCAGGCCUAACACAUGCGAGUCGAACGGACCCUUCGGGGUUAGUGGCGGACGGGUGAGUAACACGUGGGAACGUGCCUUUAGGUUCGGAAUAGCUCCUGGAAACGGGUGGUAAUGCCGAAUGUGCCCUUCGGGGGAAAGAUUUAUCGCCUUUAGAGCGGCCCGCGUCUGAUUAGCUAGUUGGUGAGGUAAUGGCUCACCAAGGCGACGAUCAGUAGCUGGUCUGAGAGGAUGACCAGCCACAUUGGGACUGAGACACGGCCCAAACUCCUACGGGAGGCAGCAGUGGGGAAUCUUGCGCAAUGGGCGAAAGCCUGACGCAGCCAUGCCCGCGUGAAUGAUGAAGGUCUUAGGAUUGUAAAAUUCGUUUCACCGGGGACGAUAAUGACGGUACCCGGAGAAGAAGCCCCGGCUAACUUCGUGCCAGCAG